AUCUACUUACUUGACAUCUUGGCUGAGGGAUUGUGGAUUUCAAGCUAUUCUCGUCAUUGGCGAGUAUUGCACAGAAGUUGUGUUUCUCCAGUUGAAGAACUACACUUCCUCCCCACUGUUGCAUACACAGCCAGGUGUUCGAAGCAAGCUAGAUAGCUCAUUAGCACAGGUGGUCGCCUAUGUUUUCUGUCUGGCUUCCGUAAACAAGAGCUAGAUAUGGCCUUGUGGGAACACCAACUCUCUAAAAAAA